rnacentral:rRNA from 1 species
UACAGAGGGUGCGAGCGUUGUCCGGAAUCACUGGGCGUAAAGGGCGCGUAGGCGGCUGGGUAAGCGUGUGGUGAAAGCCCGGGGCUCAACCCCGGGUCGGCCAUGCGAACUGCCCGGCUGGAGCACGGUAGAGGCACAUGGAAUUCCGGGUGUAGCGGUGGAAUGCGUAGAGAUCCGGAAGAACACCGGUGGCGAAGGCGAGUCUCUGGACAACUCCUGACACUGAGGCACGAAAGCUAGGGGAGCAAACAGGAUUAGAAACCCCGGUAGU